rnacentral:tRNA from 1 species
GGAGUAGUAAGCCUAAUUGGUAAGGCAACGGUUUGCUAAACCGUGAGUAGUCGGUAACGGCGUGCUGGUUCAAGUCCAGUCUACUCCG